AGAGUAUGCUGAAGUUAUUGCUGUCAGGUGCGUUUGCCAUAUACUCAGGGACCUGGGUCCCUUCCUUCUUAGUCUCCAUCUUCUCCAGGAGCCAGAAAAAAAGGAGAGAGAGAGCAUCAGGUGGCACUGUUUAUGGGCCUUUCAUGGAAGUGACACCUGGGGUUACUUCUGCUUAUGUUCCUUUGGACAGAAUUCAGUUGAAUGGUCAUACUAGAGGCAUUGUGCCAGGCUUUGCAGGAUAAAAAGAAGUUAGAGACAGGGACUUUGGAUCCAAGUCCUCCCUGACUCAAAACCCAGAGAGGCAGAGGAUGCUUGCCACCUUUGACUAGUCCUAUCUCCUCCAAAGGGUCCUUUUGAUUUAUUAGCAAGAAGCCAUCUUCUGACCACAAAGACAAGAUUUCAAAGUUCUCACCCAGUUCCUAGCUAAAGAUGUCCAAAGAGACUUCUAAGCCAAUGAUUUUCAACAAGGAAAUUGAAGUUGUAUGCUUUGAAGAGAGGGGCUUGAUUGGGUGGCAUCUUAUGCUUAAGUGUGCAUGGAAGAGCCAUCCUACAUGCAGCAUGUGAUGGGCCCCCAGGGACUGAGGACUUGUGUAUGACUGGGAGUCUACGCAGCUUGGCUUCAUAUCAGUUCUUGCCAUCUCGGAUCCAAAUGCUCUCCAGGCAUGAAGUCAUUUCCUCCAAGAGAUUUGAAGAUGCCCCAGAAGAAUCUUAGGCUAAGGUCACUAUUCUUAAGCUAAGGUCACUAUUCUUAUUCCUCUGAGAAAGGUGAAAGGUGGGUUGGGUGCAGUGGCUCACGCCUGUAAUCCCAGCACUUUAGGAGGUCGAGGUGGGUGGAUCACGAGGUCAAGAGAUCGAGACCAUCCUGGCCAACACGGUGAAACCCUGCCUCUACUAAAAAUACAAAACUUAGCUGGGCAUGGUGGCACGUGCCUGUAGUCCCAGCUACUUGGGAGGCUGAGGCAGGAGUCGCUUGAACCCAGGAGGCUGAGGUUGCAGUGAGCUGAGAUCGCACCACUGCGCUCCAGCCUGGUAACAGAGUGAGACUCCACCUCAACAACAACAACAACAAAAAGGUGAAAGGUGUUUGAUGGAUGAAAAUAGAGCUGAACCCUAACUUGUAACCACUCAAUUUUAACUAGAGGUUGUCACCAAGUAAGAGAUGCCCAUCGACCUUGUGCACAAAGCUGGCGCUAGUCUAUGAACUGUUGGUGAAGUCACACUAUGAAACAACGUCUCUACCACCCAUUCCCAUACCAUCAGCCAUCCUGCUCUGGCAUAUGAGCAGGGGAAUUCUUUUCCGUCCUCUCUGAAGGAACGAAUAGUCUGAAAUAUUGAAUUGGAAAAAUGCUCAAGGCAUCCAUUCUACUCUCGUGGGCCCCAUGUAGUUAUCUGUUGAAGGCCUCGGAUGUGCCAGAGACAAUUCAUUUGUUGUCAUUAGUUCCCCCCACAACCCUCAGAAGUGAGUAUACCUUCAUGUCACAGAUGAGAUUAUGUUCAAAACGGUUUAGAAGCUGCUCAAGGUCACAUACCCACUAGGUGACAGAUUUGAAUCCAGAAUUGUACUCCUCAACACAGAGCCCCCUUCUCACUAUGCCGGAGAUGCUGAGUUUCUUGGCCUGGGCUGCAGCCCCACACAGCCGGUUUUGAGCUCCCCAGGUGAAUCUACUGGGCUCCCUGGGCUGAGAACCACUGCUCUACAUCAGCCUUCUUACAUGAAUCAGGGGUUUUAUUCCGCCUUGCAUCACAGGUUCCUUUAGGGAAGU
ensembl:lncRNA novel transcript